UACGUAGGGGGCGAGCGUUGUCCGGAAUCAUUGGGCGUAAAGCGCGUGUAGGCGGCUCGGUAAGUCUGCUGUGAAAGUCCAGGGCUCAACCCUGGGAUGCCGGUGGAUACUGUCGAGCUCGAGUCCGGAAGAGGCGAGUGGAAUUCCUGGUGUAGCGGUGAAAUGCGCAGAUAUCAGGAGGAACACCAAUGGCGAAGGCAGCGCGCUGGGACGUGACUGACGCUGAGACGCGAAAGCGUGGGGAGCAAACAGG
rnacentral:rRNA from 1 species